rnacentral:rRNA from 1 species
GACGAACGCUGGCGGCGUGCCUAAUACAUGCAAGUAGAACGCAGUUGCGAACGGGUGAGUAACGCGUAGGUAACUGCCUCAUAGCGGGGGAUAACUAUUGGAAACGAUAGCUAAUACCGCAUACUGUGAGAUGGACCUGCGUUGUGUUAGCUAGUUGGUGAGGUAAAGGCUCACCAAGGCGACGAUACAUAGCCGGCCUGGGAGGGUGAUCGGCCCAAAUGGGACGUGAACACGGGCCAGGACCCUAAGGGGGGCAGCAGUAGGGAAAUUUUGGAAAUGGAGGGAAGUCUGGCCGAGGCACGCCGGGGGAUAUAAGGAAGUUUUCGGAUCUUAAAGGUACUUUGUUCGAGGAGCGGUAACUAAACAUAAAGGAACGGCUAACUACGUGCCAGCAGCCGCGGUAAUUC